rnacentral:lncRNA from 1 species
AAGGAGGAGCUCAAGGUCAGGAGAGCACUGUUCCCUGGGAAACAUGAAGAUGGCCAUCUACGAGCCAAGGAGAGGGGCCUCAGAAGAAACCAGUCCUGCUGACACCUUGAUGUUGAACUUCCAGCCUCCAGAAUUGUGGGAGAAAUAAAUGUUGUUUAAGCUGCCCUGCCUGGCACCCUGUCAUGGCAGCCCUAGCAAACUAGUCCAGCUGCAUUUGUCUGCGUGGAGACCUCUGGCCCCAGGGCAAAUGUUCCAGCUCCUCUUCCCUCCUGUGCCCUGCUAUUCCCCUACCGGUUGGCUCCUCCUGCCUGCUC